rnacentral:rRNA from 1 species
UACGAGGGGAGCAAGCGUUGUUCGGAUUUACUGGGCGUAAAGGGCGCGUAGGCGGCGUGACAAGUCACUUGUGAAAUCUCCGGGCUUAACUCGGAACGGUCAAGUGAUACUGUCGGACUAGAGUACAGAAGGGGCAACUGGAAUUCUCGGUGUAGCGGUGAAAUGCGUAGAUAUCGAGAGGAACACCUGCGGCGAAGGCGGGUUGCUGGGCUGAUACUGACGCUGAGGCGCGAAAGCCAGGGGAGCGAACGGG